rnacentral:rRNA from 1 species
UACGUAGGCAGCAAGCGUUGUUCGGAGUUACUGGGCGUAAAGGGUGUGUAGGUGGCCUGUUAAGUUCCGUGUGAAAUCUCCCGGCUCAACCGGGAGGGUGCGCGGAAAACUGGCGGGCUAGAGUACGGGAUGGGAGAGUAGAAUUCCUGGUGUAGCGGUGAAAUGCGCGAGAUAUCAGGAGGAACACCGGUGGCGAAGGCGGGUCUCUGG